AGUGAAAAAAGGNGGCUCUCCGGAGCAUGUGCACACCCUCUCUAAAAACUUCUACCCACCUGUGCACUCUUGUAGAUUCGGAUACCUCUCGGUCUCAUCGCUCGCGCGUUGGAUCGGAUAUGAGGGUCGCUCUAGGGCUUCCCUCUCAUUUCCGGGUCUAUGUACUUUACACACACUUUCAAAAAAAUAUCAGAAUGUCAUUGGCCCGUCUUGAAAAAGCGAGCUUUAAAAAUUAAUACAACUUUCAACAACGGAUCUCUUGGCUCUCGCAUCGAUGAAGAACGCAGCGAAAUGCGAUAAGUAAUGUGAAUUGCAGAUUUCAGUGAAUCAUCGAAUCUUUGAACGCACCUUGCGCUCCUUGGUAUUCCGAGGAGCAUGCCUGUUUGAGUGUCAUUAAAUUCUCAACCUCAUCCGGCUUCUGUCGUGCAUGCGGCUUGGAUGUGAGGGUUGCGGGCUCUUUCGAGAGUCGGCUCCCUUUAAAUGCAUUAGCGGUCGAACCUCUGCCGAUCGUCCUCCGGUGUGAUAAUUAUCUACGCCACGGAUGAGAAGCGGGGCAGUUCCUCAGGGAACUUCCCUUUGAUGAUCGAUGGCUUCUAACUGUCUUCGGACAAACAAACCCUUUUGACUUGACCUCAAAUCAGGUAGGACUACCCGCUGAACUUAAGCAUAUCA
rnacentral:rRNA from 1 species